rnacentral:tRNA from 1 species
GCAUCGGUGGUUUAGUGGUAAAAUUAGCCGUUGCCAUCUGUCACAGAUCAAUUCGGCUAGCCCCGGGUUCGAUUCCCGGCCGAUGCA